UGGGGAAUAUUGGACAAUGGGCGCAAGCCUGAUCCAGCCAUGCCGCGUGAGUGAUGAAGGCCCUAGGGUUGUAAAGCUCUUUCAACGGUGAAGAUAAUGACGGUAACCGUAGAAGAAGCCCCGGCUAACUUCGUGCCAGCAGCCGCGGUAAUACGAAGGGGGCUAGCGUUGUUCGGAAUAACUGGGCGUAAAGCGCACGUAGGCGGAUUGGAAAGUUAGAGGUGAAAUCCCUGGGCUCAACCCAGGAACUGCCUUUAAAACUAUCAAUCUAGAGUUCGAGAGAGGUGAGUGGAAUUCCGAGUGUAGAGGUGAAAUUCGUAGAUAUUCGGAGGAACACCAGUGGCGAAGGCGGCUCACUGGCUCGAUACUGACGCUGAGGUGCGAAAGUGUGGGGAGCAAACAGGAUUAGAUACCCCCGUAGUCC
rnacentral:rRNA from 1 species